AAGUGGAAUUGUGAUCGAGACACGAACGAGGAUGUGUUCAACCCUCAGUUACGUUUCCGUUUGUUUUUGUUGCCUUUAAAAGUGUGCUUUUGUAGCCUAUUAGCAAGUUUAACCAGGAUCGGAUCUCUCUUUGCUUCUGUUGGACUACACCUCUCCGUUGUUCUUCGUGGCCUUUCUCCGCUGGGGAUCUGUUGGCGGAUUGGAUUGUCUGACUGACUACAACCUUUUUGUAUACGACUUGACGGACCAGAUGGGACUCAUUCCCUCCCAAACCAAAAAGAGAAACCAAUAUUUAUCUGGAUGCAAGCGAGGGCACUCCGGAUAUUGCAUACAGAUGGUUCAAAGGAUCCCAUGAAUGGGAAGACUGCAGCAGGUGCAUUUAAUCCUGAGUUCGAUGUUAAUCUAUGCAAGAGACUAACAAAUUAUUUAUCUGUCGAUUCAACAAAUGGUUGCAUUAGUUGUUGGAUUGCAAUGGAUAGAGGAGGUGCAACCAAGAAGAAUAGCAAUAUGUUCAGACUGCAUCAGUUUUGUUUAGUUUAAUAUCUGGAAAGCAUUUCGCUAUACCUGCAAUAACAUGUGCUAAAUGUGUAUAAGACAUAAUUAGAUUUUGUUUUGAAAGUCAGAACAUGAGGAUUUAUGGGUAGAAAUAAUGCUGCUGUUGGGCUUACAAAGAAAUGGUAUUGAAAUUAAGUUCUGUUGGAUUCCAGCUCAUAAAGGAGUUAAUGGAAAUUAUAUAGUAGAUAUAAUAGCCAAAAAAAGCAGUGAAAAUAAUAUUAUUUAUAUACAGGUGCAUUUGGGUUGAGAGAAUUAAAACAUUGAUUUGAAAAAUGGGUUAGAUUGCUGGCAGAGACAAUGGGAUGAAAGUUUUUAUAGUACAAGGAAAUCUGUACGGGAGAUAGUGUUAUAAUGGGAACAGAAGGGAUAGAGUUAUGUUGUGUAGGAUCAGAUUAGGGCAUAUGAGAUUUAAUCCCUCUUUGAAAUUGAUAGGGAAGCAUGAUACUGGAAUGUGUAAUGGCUGUAUGGUACGUGUGAUGUUGAAAGGGAGAGGUUGUUUGACAGGUUCAGAGAGGUUGGAUAGAAAUGGGGAGUAGGUGGUAUUUUAUGUGGGGAUAACGGGAGUAGUGAGGUUUGUAGGGAAUUAUUUUAUUAUAAAUUGUGGGUUAGUUGAGAGAAUAUAGUGGUAUAGAUAGGUCGUGACCGGCCUCACACUCCAGAACAGUAGGAGGGUUAGUUGAGAGAAUAUAGUGGUGUGUGUAUAUAUAGGUUGUGACUGGCCUCACACUCCAGAACAGUAGGAGGGUUAGUUGAGAGAAUAUAGUGGUGUGUGUAUAUAUAGGUUGUGACUGGCCUCACACUCCAGAAUAGUAGGAGGGUUAGUUGAGAGAAUAUAGUGGUAUAGAUAGGUCGUGACCGGCCUCACACUCCAGAACAGUAGGAGGGUUAGUUGAGAGAAUAUAGUGGUGUGUGUAUAUAUAGGUUGUGACUGGCCUCACACUCCAGAACAGUAGGAGGGUUAGUUGAGAGAAUAUAGUGGUAUAGAUAGGUCGUGACCGGCCUCACACUCCAGAACAGUAGGAGGGUUAGUUGAGAGAAUAUAGUGGUGUGUGUAUAUAUAGGUUGUGACUGGCCUCACACUCCAGAAUAGUAGGAGGGUUAGUUGAGAGAAUAUAGUGGUAUAGAUAGGUCAUGACCGGCCUCACACUCCAGAAUAGUAGGAGGGUUAGUUGAGAAAAUAUAGUGGUGUGUGUAUAUAUAGGUUGUGACUGGCCUCACACUCCAGAACAGUAGGAGGGUUAGUUGAGAGAAUAUAGUGGUGUGUGUAUAUAUAGGUUGUGACUGGCCUCACACUCCAGAACAGUAGGAGGGUUAGUUGAGAGAAUAUAGUGGUGUGUGUAUAUAUAGGUUGUGACUGGCCUCACACUCCAGAAUAGUAGGAGGGUUAGUUGAGAGAAUAUAGUGGUAUAGAUAGGUCAUGACCGGCCUCACACUCCAGAAUAGUAGGAGGGUUAGUUGAGAAAAUAUAGUGGUGUGUGUGUAUAUAUAGGUUGUGACUGGCCUCACACUCCAGAAUAGUAGGAGGGUUAGUUGAGAGAAUAUAGUGGUAUAGAUAGGUCAUGACCGGCCUCACACUCCAGAAUAGUAGGAGGGUUAGUUGAGAGAAUAUAGUGGUGUGUAUAUAUAGGUUGUGACUGGCCUCACACUCCAGAACAGUAGGAGGGUUAGUUGAGAGAAUAUAGUGGUGUGUAUAUAUAGGUCGUGACCGGCCUCACACUCCAGAACAGUAGGAGGGUUAGUUGAGAGAAUAUAGUGGUGUGUAUAUAUAGGUCGUGACCGGCCUCACACUCCAGAACAGUAGGAGGGUUAGUUGAGAGAAUAUAGUGGUAUAGAUAGGUCAUGACCGGCCUCACACUCCAGAAUAGUAGGAGGGUUAGUUGAGAAAAUAUAGUGGUGUGUGUGUAUAUAUAGGUUGUGACUGGCCUCACACUCCAGAAUAGUAGGAGGGUUAGUUGAGAGAAUAUAGUGGUAUAGAUAGGUCAUGACCGGCCUCACACUCCAGAAUAGUAGGAGGGUUAGUUGAGAAAAUAUAGUGGUGUGUGUAUAUAUAGGUUGUGACUGGCCUCACACUCCAGAACAGUAGGAGGGUUAGUUGAGAGAAUAUAGUGGUGUGUGUAUAUAUAGGUUGUGACUGGCCUCACACUCCAGAACAGUAGGAGGGUUAGUUGAGAGAAUAUAGUGGUGUGUGUAUAUAUAGGUUGUGACUGGCCUCACACUCCAGAAUAGUAGGAGGGUUAGUUGAGAGAAUAUAGUGGUAUAGAUAGGUCAUGACCGGCCUCACACUCCAGAACAGUAGGAGGGUUAGUUGAGAGAAUAUAGUGGUGUGUAUAUAUAGGUCGUGACCGGCCUCACACUCCAGAACAGUAGGAGGGUUAGUUGAGAGAAUAUAGUGGUGUGUAUAUAUAGGUUGUGACCGGCCUCACACUCCAGAACAGUAGGAGGGUUAGUUGAGAGAAUAUAGUGGUGUGUAUAUAUAGGUCGUGACCGGCCUCACACUCCAGAACAGUAGGAGGGUUAGUUGAGAGAAUAUAGUGGUGUGUAUAUAUAGGUUGUGACCGGCCUCACACUCCAGAACAGUAGGAGGGUUAGUUGAGAGAAUAUAGUGGUGUGUAUAUAUAGGUCGUGACCGGCCUCACACUCCAGAACAGUAGGAGGGUUAGUUGAGAGAAUAUAGUGGUGUGUAUAUAUAGGUUGUGACCGGCCUCACACUCCAGAACAGUAGGAGGGUUAGUUGAGAGAAUAUAGUGGUGUGUAUAUAUAGGUCGUGACCGGCCUCACACUCCAGAACAGUAGGAGGGUUAGUUGAGAGAAUAUAGUGGUGUGUAUAUAUAGGUUGUGACCGGCCUCACACUCCAGAACAGUAGGAGGGUUAGUUGAGAGAAUAUAGUGGUGUGUAUAUAUAGGUUGUGACCGGCCUCACACUCCAGAACAGUAGGAGGGUUAGUUGAGAGAAUAUAGUGGUGUGUGUAUAUAUAGGUUGUGACUGGCCUCACACUCCAGAACAGUAGGAGGGUUAGUUGAGAGAAUAUAGUGGUGUGUGUAUAUAUAGGUUGUGACCGGCCUCACACUCCAGAACAGUAGGAGGGUUAGUUGAGAGAAUAUAGUGGUGUGUAUAUAUAGGUCGUGACCGGCCUCACACUCCAGAACAGUAGGAGGGUUAGUUGAGAGAAUAUAGUGGUGUGUGUAUAUAUAGGUUGUGACUGGCCUCACACUCCAGAACAGUAGGAGGGUUAGUUGAGAGAAUAUAGUGGUGUGUGUAUAUAUAGGUUGUGACCGGCCUCACACUCCAGAACAGUAGGAGGGUUAGUUGAGAGAAUAUAGUGGUGUGUAUAUAUAGGUCGUGACCGGCCUCACACUCCAGAACAGUAGGAGGGUUAGUUGAGAGAAUAUAGUGGUGUGUGUAUAUAUAGGUUGUGACUGGCCUCACACUCCAGAACAGUAGGAGGGUUAGUUGAGAGAAUAUAGUGGUGUGUGUAUAUAUAGGUUGUGACCGGCCUCACACUCCAGAACAGUAGGAGGGUUAGUUGAGAGAAUAUAGUGGUGUGUAUAUAUAGGUCGUGACCGGCCUCACACUCCAGAACAGUAGGAGGGUUAGUUGAGAGAAUAUAGUGGUGUGUGUAUAUAUAGGUUGUGACUGGCCUCACACUCCAGAACAGUAGGAGGGUUAGUUGAGAGAAUAUAGUGGUGUGUGUAUAUAUAGGUUGUGACCGGCCUCACACUCCAGAACAGUAGGAGGGUUAGUUGAGAGAAUAUAGUG